CGAGAGACUCGGUGAAAUUAUAGUACCUGUGAAGAUGCAGGUUACCCGCGACAGGACGGAAAGACCCCGUGGAGCUUUACUGCAACCUGAUAUGGAAUGUUUGUACCGCUUGUACAGGAUAGGUAGGAGCCGAAGAGACGUGUGCGCUAGCAUACGAGGAGGCAAUGGUGGGAUACUACCCUGGCUGUAUGACCAUUCUAACCCGCCACGCUUAGCGCGUGGGGAGACAGUGUCAGGUGGGCAGUUUGACUGGGG
rnacentral:rRNA from 1 species